rnacentral:rRNA from 1 species
AUUGAACGCUGGCGGAAUGCUUUACACAUGCAAGUCGAACGGCAGCACGAGGGCAACCUUGGUGGCGAGUGGCGAACGGGUGAGUAAUACAUCGGAACGUGCCCAGUCGUGGGGGAUAACGUAGCGAAAGCUACGCUAAUACCGCAUACGAUCUAUGGAUGAAAGCGGGGGACCGUAAGGCCUCGCGCGAUUGGAGCGGCCGAUGGCAGAUUAGGUAGUUGGUGGGGUAAAGGCUCACCAAGCCUGCGAUCUGUAGCUGGUCUGAGAGGACGACCAGCCACACUGGAACUGAGACACGGUCCAGACUCCUACGGGAGGCAGCAGUGGGGAAUUUUGGACAAUGGGCGCAAGCCUGAUCCAGCCAUUCCGCGUGCAGGAUGAAGGCCUUCGGUUGUAACUAGCUUUGUUACGGUAACGAAAGGUUUACCGUUAA